rnacentral:rRNA from 1 species
GAGUUUGAUCGUGGCUCAGAUUGAACGCUGGCGGCAUGCCUUACACAUGCAAGUCGAACGGCAGCAUGAUCUAGCUUGCUAGAUUGAUGGCGAGUGGCGAACGGGUGAGUAAUACAUCGGAACGUGCCCUGUAGUGGGGGAUAACUAGUCGAAAGAUUAGCUAAUACCGCAUACGACCUGAGGGUGAAAGUGGGGGACCGCAAGGCCUCAUGCUAUAGGAGCGGCCGAUGUCUGAUUAGCUAGUUGGUGGGGUAAAGGCCCACCAAGGCGACGAUCAGUAGCUGGUCUGAGAGGACGAUCAGCCACACUGGGACUGAGACACGGCCCAGACUCCUACGGGAGGCAGCAGUGGGGAAUUUUGGACAAUGGGCGAAAGCCUGAUCCAGCAAUGCCGCGUGUGUGAAGAAGGCCUCGGUGUAG